rnacentral:rRNA from 1 species
UACGUAGGGUGCGAGCGUUAAUCGGAAUUACUGGGCGUAAAGGGUGUGUAGGCGGUUUUGGUAGUCGUGCGUUAAAGCUCUGGGCUUAACACAGGAAAUGCGCACGAAACGGCAAACCUAGAGGAUGCGAGAGGUGAACAGAACUCAUGGUGUAGGGGUGAAAUCCGUUGAUAUCAUGGGGAAUACCAAAUGCGAAGGCAGUUCACUGGCGCACUCCUGACGCUGAAACACGAAAGCGUGGGUAGCGAAUGGG